GACGAACGCUGGCGGCGUGCUUAACACAUGCAAGUCGAACGGAAAGGCUCUGUUCUUGUGGGGAGUGCGAGUGGCGAACGGGGGAGUAACACGUGAGGGACCUGCCCCUUACUUUGGGGGAACACCAGGGAACAGGGGCGAAUAUAGCAUAUGAGCUCCUUCAGCAUGGGGGGUGUGGGAAAGAUUCGCCGGUUGGGCAUGGACUCGCGGCUCAGCGGCUUGUUGGCGGGGUAGUGGGGUACCAAGGCUUUGACGGGUAGCCGCCCUGGGAGGGUGACCGGCCCCAUUGGCACUGAGAUACGGCCCAGACUCCUACGGGGGGCAGCAGUGGAGAAUUUUGCACACUGCGCGGAGGCAUGAUGCAGCAUCUCCGCGUGCGGAAUGACGGCCUUCGGGUUGUAACCCGCUUUCGCCUGUAACGAAGCGUGAGUGACGGUAAUGGCUAAAGAAGCACCGGCUAACUACGUG
rnacentral:rRNA from 1 species